rnacentral:sRNA from 1 species
GAAAGAGAUUCGUUGGAUAAGUUGAGAACA